GUACUACUACUGUUAGUACACACCCUUCUGAAAAAAGUAUAAUACUAAAAGAUGUAAUAACCCCUUUAAGCAAAGGAGAACCACCACAAUCCCUAUAUGAUAUUAUUGCAACACCAUACAAGGUUCUACCAAAAGAAAUAGGUAAAAAACAAGAAUUAAUACCUCACAUACUAGAACAAAACAAUUAUACAAAUUUAUAUUUACAAUCUCUAGGAAAACAAGCAGAACGUAUAGAAAGAUUAGUCACUCUCCAAACUAAGGAAAUAACUCCUUCUAUUCGUAAAGCAGUUUUGUUUAAACCUCUUUCAGAACUCAAUAAAAAUAAAUUUCAUAUAGGAGAAAAUAAUAAAACAUUAAUGGACCAGUUAAUAUCUAAGUUAGCCUAAUUAGAUAUCAAAGGAAUACCUUCUCCCAAACUUAGUAUUUCUAUACCAAUACCCAGUAUUUCUGAA
rnacentral:lncRNA from 1 species